AAUAGAUACCCCGGUAGUCCACGCCGUAAACGAUGAGUGCUAAGUGUUAGAGGGUUUCCGCCCUUUAGUGCUGCAGCUAACGCAUUAAGCACUCCGCCUGGGGAGUACGGCCGCAAGGCUGAAACUCAAAGGAAUUGACGGGGGCCCGCACAAGCGGUGGAGCAUGUGGUUUAAUUCGAAGCAACGCGAAGAACCUUACCAGGUCUUGACAUCCUCUGACAACCCUAGAGAUAGGGCUUUCCCCUUCGGGGGACAGAGUGACAGGUGGUGCAUGGUUGUCGUCAGCUCGUGUCGUGAGAUGUUGGGUUAAGUCCCGCAACGAGCGCAACCCUUGAUCUUAGUUGCCAGCAUUCAGUUGGGCACUCUAAGGUGACUGCCGGUGACAAACCGGAGGAAGGUGGGGAUGACGUCAAAUCAUCAUGCCCCUUAUGAACUGGGCUACACACGUGCUACAAUGGAUGGUACAAAGGGCUGCAAACCUGCGGAGGUAAGCGAAUCCCAUAAAGCCAUUCUCAGUUCGGAUUGCAGG
rnacentral:rRNA from 1 species